UGGGUGGUUCUUCAGGAGGGAGUAGCGAUUGAGUGGGAUUUGGGGAGAUGUGUUUAUAGCUCUGAAUUCCUUUCAAUUCUCAGUCAAGAAAUUGGAGAGAUUCCUUACGGCUUUUCUUGCGGUACCUAUAAAGACAAUUACCAAGUGGAAGAGAGACGCGCAUUCCGAAGCUCAUCACUUUUGUCGACUCACCUGCACAAUCGGUGAACAGGAGAGGCACUUGCCAUGGAUCAGGAGAAAUACUUACCGGAGCUGAUGGCCGAAAAAGAUACCCUGGACUCCUCGUUUGUUCAUGCGAUGCGUCUGCUUGCCGAAGAAAUCACAAAGUAUGAGGGGGAUGAGUUGAGAAAAGACGAUGAUGUGAAGAAAUACCUCGAUGUCAUCAGUAACAAAAACAUCAAGCUCUUGGAAAGAGUACUAAUCCCAGUUCAACAGUACCCAAAGUUUAAUUUUGUUGGGAAGCUGUUGGGACCACGGGGCAAUUCCAUGAAAAGAUUACAAGAAGAAACCGGAGCAAAGAUGUCCAUCCUCGGAAAAGGCUCCAUGAGGGACAAAGUAAAGGAAGAAGAGUUGAGGAAAAGUGGAGAGGCCAAGUAUGCCCAUUUGAGUAACGAUCUCCAUGUUUUAAUUGAAGUCUUCGCUCCACCUGGAGAGGCCUAUUCCCGCAUGAGCCAUGCCUUGGAGGAGAUUAAGAAAUUCCUAGUUCCAGACUACAAUGAUGAGAUCAGACAGGAGCAGCUGAGGGAGCUCUCCUACUUGAACGGAGGAUCAGAGGACACCAACAGAGGGAGGACAGUAAGGGGGCGGGGCUUACGGCUGGCUUCCACGACAACCACGCGGGGACGGGGAGGCAGAGGUGCAGUUGCACCCAGAGGGACAGCAGGUACACGGAGUGCAAUGCCACAAGCCACAUUAGCGAGAGGAGUACCCACUCCCAGGGCAAGGGGAACACCAGGGAACCCCGGAUACAGACCCCCACUGUUGCCCGUAACACACGAAUCAUAUGACGACUACGGCUAUGAUGAUGGAUAUGACGGUGAAUAUGAUGACCAGAGUUAUGAUGCCUAUGAGGAGAACUACAGCAAUCAGUCAAAGAGCAUUUCUGAAUAUUACGAAUAUGGCCAUGGAACCAAUGACGAAGCCUACAACAAUUACGAAGAGGAGUGGACGACAACCCGUCCAACACUCAAAGCCCCAGCAGCAAGGAUCUCACGUGUGGGCUACAGAGAACAUCCCUAUGGUGUAACAUAUUGUGUGAACUGUUCGAUAAGGGGAGUGUGAGAGGCUCUGAACUCUCAGUAUGGAGCACAUAGUAAACUCUUCCCAAGGGACUGUGGAGUCCCUUAACCUACCAGAAGAGCUGGGCACCAUCAUAAAUUAGCUUGGUGCAAAUGAGCAUGAUAUGCGGAUGGUUCUGUGGAUGUAUAGUAUCUUCGCUGUCCAAGUCACCCUGGUCAGGUGAAUGCAUAGACUAUAUAAUGCAUGUAGUGUGUUUGAUCACUCUGAUUAAGUUAGUCAUAUCAUACUAGCAUGUUGUGUUUCCAUACAACCUUCAAUGAAUGACAUGCUUAUAUAUUAGAUUUGAUUGGAUUUGCAUUUGCAUUUGAUACUUUUGUUAAUGCUGAAAAGUUUAGCAGAACUUAUACUCUUCCCUUGAAGCAAAAGAAGAGGUUUUCCAGGUCACCUUGGUUUCACCAUAGUAAUCAUACUGUAGUUGCACCAGUAUCACCUCUCCCACCUUUUCCAUCCCAGAGAGCAGAUCAUUACUACAGACAUGAUGUGUUACCUAGGGGAAAGCACAGCCCCACUGCCCCAAAGCCCCUCACCCACAGGCUGACUGCACCCAUGAUGUCAAACCCACAUUGACAGAGAGUAGCCAGGGGUUGUAGAGAGAUAUGGUCAAAGGGAAUAUGGUAGUGACUGCAGGCGUACCAGCCAUGAUACUCGACAGAUACCUUUAAAGCUAACAGUGCGGAAGCACACUAUCUUGUUGAAACAAACUAAGGAUAAUAGUGUCAUCUGUCAUGUAUUGUAUAUACUGUUGACUCAGAAUCCAUUCAAAAAGAAGUGAUGAGUCUUCAUUUGUAUGUCCUAUUUAUACAUUUCAGUUAUUUUCUCUGUUUCUAAAGCAUUUUAAGCAAUUUUAUUUUCUCCACAAAAGCCCCCCAAAAUGUAUUACAGGCGGUGAUACAGGCAUGCAGAACUAGAUGUUUACUUAACUGUAGUUCGACCUCAGAUGUCUGUGACGUUUCUUUCUUUCUAUUUCCCCUCACUUCAAGCAGUGAAGUAUACAUGCUGUUUGUGUAUUAAGUCUUUCUUUCUAUUUCCCCUCACUUCAGGCAGUGAAUUAUACAUGCUGUUUGUGUAUUAAGUCUUUCUAUCUAUUUCCCCUCACUUCAGGCAGUGAAGUAUACAUGCUAUUUGUGUAUUAAGUCUUUCUUUCUAUUUCCCCUCACUUCAGGCAGUGAAGUAUACAUGCUGUUUGUGUAUUAAGUCUUUCUUUCUAUUUCCCCUCACUUCAGGCAGUGAAGUAUACAUGCUGUUUGUGUAUUAAGUCUUUCUUUCUAUUUCCCCUCACUUCAGGAAGUGAAGUGUACAUGCUGUUUGUGUAUUAAGUCUUUCUUUCUAUUUCCCCUCACUUCAGGCAGUGAAGUAUACAUGCUGUUUGUGUAUUAAGUCUUUCUUUCUAUUUCCCCUCACUUCAGGCAGUGAAGUAUACAUGCUGUUUGUGUAUUAAGUCUUUCUUUCUAUUUCCCCUCACUUCAGGCAGUGAAGUGUACAUGCUGUUUGUGUAUGAAGUCUUUCUUUCUAUUUCCCCUCACUUCAGGCAGUGAAGUAUACAUGCUGUUUGUGUAUUAAGUCUUUCUUUCUAUUUCCCCUCACUUCAGGCAGUGAAGUAUACAUGCUGUUUGUGUAUUAAGUCUUUCUUUCUAUUUCCCCUCACUUCAGGCAGUGAAGUGUACAUGCUGUUUGUGUAUUAAGUCUUUCUAUUUCCCCUCACUUCAGGCAGUGAAGUAUACAUGCGGUUUGUGUAUUAAGUCUUUCUUUCUAUUUCCCCUCACUUCAGGCAGUGAAGUGUACAUGCUGUUUGUGUAUUAAGUCUUUCUAUUUCCCCUCACUUCAGGCAGUGAAGUAUACAUGCUGUUUGUGUAUUAAGUCUUUCUUUCUAUUUCCCCUCACUUCAGGCAGUGAAGUAUACAUGCUGUUUGUGUAUUAAGUCUUUCUUUCUAUUUCCCCUCACUUCAGGCAGUGAAUUAUACAUGCUGUUUGUGUAUUAAGUCUUUCUAUCUAUUUCCCCUCACUUCAGGCAGUGAAGUAUACAUGCUAUUUGUGUAUUAAGUCUUUCUUUCUAUUUCCCCUCACUUCAGGCAGUGAAGUAUACAUGCUGUUUGUGUAUUAAGUCUUUCUUUCUAUUUCCCCUCACUUCAGGCAGUGAAGUAUACAUGCUGUUUGUGUAUUAAGUCUUUCUUUCUAUUUCCCCUCACUUCAGGAAGUGAAGUGUACAUGCUGUUUGUGUAUUAAGUCUUUCUUUCUAUUUCCCCUCACUUCAGGCAGUGAAGUAUACAUGCUGUUUGUGUAUUAAGUCUUUCUUUCUAUUUCCCCUCACUUCAGGCAGUGAAGUAUACAUGCUGUUUGUGUAUUAAGUCUUUCUUUCUAUUUCCCCUCACUUCAGGCAGUGAAGUGUACAUGCUGUUUGUGUAUUAAGUCUUUCUUUCUAUUUCCCCUCACUUCAGGCAGUGAAGUAUACAUGCUGUUUGUGUAUUAAGUCUUUCUUUCUAUUUCCCCUCACUUCAGGCAGUGAAGUAUACAUGCUGUUUGUGUAUUAAGUCUUUCUUUCUAUUUCCCCUCACUUCAGGCAGUGAAGUGUACAUGCUGUUUGUGUAUUAAGUCUUUCUAUUUCCCCUCACUUCAGGCAGUGAAGUAUACAUGCGGUUUGUGUAUUAAGUCUUUCUUUCUAUUUCCCCUCACUUCAGGCAGUGAAGUGUACAUGCUGUUUGUGUAUUAAGUCUUUCUAUUUCCCCUCACUUCAGGCAGUGAAGUAUACAUGCUGUUUGUGUAUUAAGUCUUUCUUUCUAUUUCCCCUCACUUCAGGCAGUGAAGUAUACAUGCUGUUUGUGUAUUAAGUCUUUCUUUCUAUUUCCCCUCACUUCAGGCAGUGAAGUAUACAUGCUGUUUGUGUAUUAAGUCUUUCUUUCUAUUUCCCCUCACUUCAGGCAGUGAAGUAUACAUGCUGUUUGUGUAUUAAGUCUUUCUUUCUAUUUCCCCUCACUUCAGGCAGUGAAGUGUACAUGCUGUUUGUGUAUUAAGUCUUUCUUUCUAUUUCCCCUCACUUCAGGCAGUGAAGUAUACAUGCUGUUUGUGUAUUAAGUCUUUCUUUCUAUUUCCCCUCACUUCAGGCAGUGAAGUGUACAUGCUGUUUGUGUAUUAAGUCUUUCUAUUUCUCCUCACUUCAGGCAGUGAAGUGUACAUGCUGUUUGUGUAUUAAGUCUUUCUUUCUAUUUCCCCUCACUUCAGGCAGUGAAGUAUACAUGCUGUUUGUGUAUUAAGUCUUUCUAUUUCUCCUCACUUCACGCAGUGAAGUGUACAUGCUGCUUGUGUAUUAAGUCUUUCUUUCUAUUUCCCCUCACUUCAGGCAGUGAAGUGUACAUGCUGUUUGUGUAUUAAGUCUUUCCUCUGCUUUGAUUCUACUGUGUCUGAACAAGGAAACAGACGGGACAGAGGACAAACAGGAAAUGUGUUUUGCUUUCACUCAAAUGCUGACAUGCAGGGUUGUAAUGAGGUUUGUAAGUAAACUAAGCAGUUUAAAGUGUCCUGUGCCAUUUUUCAAUUUUAAGACAUCAACAUAAAAGGUGAAACAUUUUAAUGCAGCUAAUUUGCUAAUGUAUUUACAUUAAAAUCCCUUUUAAUCCAACAAAA